GCGCAGCAGGCGAGAAUACCUCACACUGUGCGAAAGCACGAUGAGGGAAUCCCAAGUGCUUGCACGUAAGUGUAAGCUGUUUCUCUGUCUAAAACGCAGAGAGAGUAAGGGCUGGGUAAGACGGGUGCCAGCCGCCGCGGUAAUACCUGCAGCUCAAGUGGUGACCGUUAUUAUUGGGCCUAAAACGUCCGUAGCCGGUUUAAUAAAUGCCUGGGUAAAUUGUGUAGCUUAACUAUACGAAUUCCGGGUAGACUGUUAAACUUGAGACCGGGAGAAGUUAGAGGUACUCCUGGGGUAGAGGUGAAAUUCUGUAAUCCUAGGGGGACCACCAGUGGCGAAGGCGUCUAACUAGAACGGGUCUGACGGUGAGGGACGAAGCCCUGGGGCGCAAACGGGAUUAGAUACCCCCGUAGU
rnacentral:rRNA from 1 species